rnacentral:rRNA from 1 species
UACAGGGGGUGCAAACGUUGCUCGGAAUUAUUGGGCGUAAAGCGCGCGUAGGCGGCUACUUAAGUCGGAUGUGAAAGCCCUUGGCUCAACUGAGGAAGUGCACCCGAAACUGAGUAGCUGGAGUACGAAAGAGGGUCGCGGAAUUCCCCAAGUAGAGGUGAAAUUCGUAGAUAUGGGGAGGAACACCGGUGGCGAAGGCGGCCAUCUGGACGAGUACUGACGCUGAGACGCGAAAGCGUGGGUAGCAAACAGG